GCUCAGGGCUGAGACAGGAGCUGAGACCCAGGACGGGGGCGGGGACUUGAUUGGCAUGCACUGCCCUCCUGGAGCUGCAGGGGAGAGGAUCAAACGGGGGCCUGGAGAGGCCAGUCCAGCUGGGCAGCCUCAGGGCAGAGGUCAGGACGCGCCUCCCACCACGGCCUGGGUCCUCUUCUACCUGCUGUCGCUGCUGAUCAACACAGGGCUCUGUGCUCGGCCUGUGCUGACCCAGUCCCCGUCUGCGGCCUCCUCCCUGGGAGGCUCGGCCAAGCUCACCUGCACCCUGAGCAGUGAGCAUAGCACACACUUCAUUCAGUGGGAUCAACAGAGCCCUGGGCAGGCCCCUCGGUAUCUGAUGAAACUGACCAGUGACGGAGAAGUCACCAGAGGGGACGGGAUCCCCGGCCGCUUCUCCGGCUCCAGCUCCGGGGCUGAGCGCUACCUGACCAUCAGCAGCCUCCAGUCUGAUGACGAGGCUGAUUACAUCUGUGGUGUCAGCUAUAAUGAUGGUGGCCAGAGUGGGUACCACAGUGACACAGACAAAGAGGAAGUGAGGCACAAACCUCCCUCCCAUGCCCUCUGCCCACGGGCACCAGGGUGA